rnacentral:rRNA from 1 species
AGUGAACGCUGGCGGUAGGCCUAACACAUGCAAGUCGAACGCGUGGCGGACGGGUGAGGAAUUCAUCGGAAUCUACUCUGUCGAGGGGUCUAACGUGGGGAACCUUAGGCUAAUCCCGCAUACGGUGCAUUGAGCCGAUGUCGGAUUAGCUAGUUGGCGGGGUAAAGGCCCACCAAGGCGACGAUCCAUAGCUGGUCUGAGAGGAUGAUCAGCCACACUGGAACUGAGACACGGCCCAGACUCCUACGGGAGGCAGCAGUGGGGAAUAUUGGACAAUGGGCGCAAGCCUGAUCCAGCCAUGCCGCGUGAGUGAAGAAGGCCUUCGGGUUGUAAAGCCCUUUUGUUGGGAAAGCGGUACCCAAAGAAAAAGCACCGGCUAACUUCGUGCCAGCAGCCGCGGUAAUUC